rnacentral:lncRNA from 1 species
ACAAUGCUCCGCUUUCCUCCGGAGAGGCAGCUCCUCUCCAGUCCUGUCCCCUGGGUCCCGCCUGCCCUGUCCCUCAUCCUUGGGCCGUCUGUCACUGCAAAGGCUGCCGCUUCCUCAGGGAAAAGUCCGGCCCUUUGUGAGUCCUCGCUUCCUCCCCGUGUGGGAACCACUCCUGGGCCGGGACAUCUGCCCCUCAGAGUCUUUCUCAGGGGCCCAAGCUGGAAGACCUCCUGCCUGGAGUCACUCUGCCACCUGCUGGCAAUACCUUGGAAUUGCAGUCCCACUGCGCCUGUGAGUGGGCCGGGUCGCUGGCUCCAGCGUCUUCCCCCGCUGACCAAGGGAGCCCUGUUCCUUGCUCAUCGCUGCGGGAAGCUCCGUUCUACAAAGGUGCCCGCUACCCUCUGGGGCACUCUUCUCCCACAGCGCCGCACGGUGUCCCGCUCGCCUCCUCUAGGCCUCAGCGGGCAGUGAGCGCUUCCCUGACAACUAUUAGGUAGCCCGGCUCCCCCUCGCCCCCCACCCGCGCCAGCCUGUCUCCCCUUCCCACCAUGCUGCUGUACCAGUCGCAGAAGCACCUAUGUGUUUGCCGCGCCGUUCCCUGCGCGAGAGCGUGGGACGUCUGUGAACUCUGCUCUUGUUCCAAUGCAUGGAACAGCACCAAUCCCCUGGAAUUCUUCCUUUCCCUGUGUACUCAAUCUCUGUAUGGUGGAACUACAUUUCACCGGGGCCACCUUGUACCCUGCUUUAUGUGUAUAAAUCUCCUGUUCCCACCUAGAAUGCAAAUCCUGGGUUUGUUUCUUCGGACGAGCUCCAGUCUGCACCUUCACAGCGGACGUCAUCUCCUGGCGUCCAGGGAAGACUUGUCAGCCUCCUGAGAGGGAUCCGCGCAGGACGCUGCAGUGAGCUCCAGGCCUUCGACUGGAUCUUUCUCAUCUGCAGCGCACAGAGGCCCUUCUGCUCUCCUCCACACCUGACUGUGACGGCCACUUUGAGCCAACCUUGUAAAUUCUUAUGCGUUUGUAUAUCUUGCAUUAAAUCUGUUUCUCUAGUGAGCACUGAGUGACACAGAUUUUGGUACCGGGAAUGGCUCUAGAAGAACAGA